GGGCAGAAAACACAUCAACAUCUCUCUCUCUCUCUCUCUCUCUCUCUCUUUGUGUGUGUGUGUGUGUGUGUGUGUGUGAGAGAGAGAGAGAGAGAGAGAGAGAGAAAACAUCCUAUUACAGU